UUCCUCCCCUAUUCUUAUCCAAGAUAAACUCUAGAAAUUUGAAAAAAGAAUGAGACCUCUAGAGGCAAAGAUUAUAAGAAAGAUUUGUCUUCUCAAUGCUGGACCCCAUAUUGAUAUCAUGCUGCUAUAGUAUCAAUAUGCUUAUAGGGGUCGGUUCACGUACUAGACUUGAUAUGCCCCUCUGUAUCAAGUCUCGGGGUGAUAUGCACUGAUAUAGUGAACCUUGAUCAUGAGAAAUCUAUAAUGGAAAGGAAAUAUCCUCAAAAAAUAGCAC
rnacentral:lncRNA from 1 species